rnacentral:lncRNA from 1 species
CGCCAGUAUUUGUGACGGAAUUGAAACUAGAUUGAAAAUGAAAUAAAUCUAACUAAAAGGAAAUCGAACAUCAGCCGAAUACAUGUGGGAAAACUAGUAAAUCAAACUUAAAUAUAUCUGGGGACUUGUUCAUAUAAAAGAAUUAUAUUUGCCGGCAGUGCGACGUGCUACUCGUUUCAAAUUCCGUCACAUAGCCACUUAGUCACUCUAUGUAAAUUGGAAAAAAAUACAUCAUUUAAUUAUGUACCAGUAACUGUUAGCAACUCGGUUAUGGGUUACCCCUAGAGUUUACUGCUUUUAAUUGGAUAUACUAUUACCUAUUUCACAACAUCCAGGAUUGGAUUUAUCACCACAGGAACCCAUUAGUUUUUGCCGUGCCAAAAGGGAAUUUCCUAGGGGCUUCAACAUUUGUUAAAUAGAGACUGUGGUUAAAGAUAAGUUGUUUACUUUUAUUAUUUACAUAUUUUGGGUAAUCUAUAGUUGCUUGCAGUGUAAACUUAUUGUAUGCAUACAAUCAGGUAAACUAGGUACAUAUUUCUUGAUAGAUAGGGUUUUAGGUCGUUGUUUUUUUUUGGUUCGAUAUAAUUAGUAGUUUGUUUAAAUAAAUAAAAUCAGGUCUUUUUUAAUAAUAAUUAUAAAUAAUUGUAGCUUAAAAUUUGAUAGGGAAUCGGGGCUAAAAUUUUGUCGCGGAUUUAAAUAGGGAAUAUGUCUGGUAGGUUUGUUUGUAUAAAUAUGAUAUAAAUAGUCAAUCACCAACAAAUUUAUAUAACUCAUUAUGUAAUUAUUAGUAUUUUAGCAAGGUGAAAUACUUAAUUUUUGGUAACCGUAGCGUUCUUGUCGUGUAUUUCACUCUAGGCUAGUUCAAUUUAGGGAAUAUUACUAACUUUUAGUUGUAAGGACUUUGUGCUAUUCUAACGGACUUUUGAUUUUGUGAAUAAUACCUUUGCUUAGCGCAGUGUGUAGGGGAUAUUUGCUUGGUAGCGGCUUUUUGGUCCUGUUUGACCUUUACUUCACCCCCUACCACUGUUAUUGUGUUUAGAGAGUUACAUGUAACUUGUAAUAUAUAUAACAUUUAUUAUUAAUAUAUUUGUAAGUAUUAA